GAGAAGGUCCAAGCUUACUUUCCCUUUGCCUUCCAACAUGAUGGUCCUGCUGAGGAUCCCUGGUGCCCAGUAGGGAACACCGUGAGGAGGAGGAUUAAGAAAGGCACCCUUUCCACUGAUUUGCAUCGCCAUUUGUACAUGGAGUUUGGCUACAGCAAAAUCCGUUGCUAUCUCACCAGCUACAAGAAGCAAAGAACGAAUUGCAAUUCAUUUUUGUGCUCUAGGACCCG
rnacentral:lncRNA from 10 species